GUAUGCCCCUCUAGUGGUUUCCCUGGUAGCUAAUGAGCCCACCUGAUGUCAAUUCCUCCCAUAACCCACAAUCUCUGGAGAGAGAGAAGACGGCCGCCAUGUCCUGCUUGUCCUCGGCUGCACACAGUGGGGUAUUGCUCCAGGACCUUGCUGCAGACACAAUCGAGAGAAACAAGGAAUGAUGUGGCUAGCACGGAGGCAUCAGGGACACUUAGGACACCUCUGUGCUCUGGAAUGCACUCUGCACUGCAGCAUCACGAAAGAAAAAAUGAAACAGUGUGGAGAGAUGGAGAAGAACACACUGGGGAGUAAGUUAGACGGACAGUUGUGUCAAGACUCUUUGAUAAGAAGACAUAUCCUAAGUGUUACCGGACCUGUUGGGAUCGACUUCAGGAUAUGAAGAAAGGCAGGUCUAGCCAUCCAUCCGCUCUGUUACUCAUCCUUCC
rnacentral:lncRNA from 1 species